GGAAUUUACUAGAGAUGUGCAGGAUUGGGAACAGCCAAGUUAAGAGAAGCGUAAGACGACCCAUUAACAAGACGCCAUGUAUCAAUCAGUUUAGCUAAUCACUCGAUAAUCUGAAGAUACCAUAGAACACUGGUAUUGGACUUUCAAAAUCUCUUUUGAACCCUGCCGUCCUCUGAUCAUUUUCCCCUGAAAAAAGGCAUCUUAAAAUGAUUGCAUUAUUGGAUAUGAUGCAUCUUUUUCAACUGAUAGACAUAUGGAUGCUUGAGAGCUAAUGCUCUUCCCACUCAGUCACUCGCCUCGGCAUGAAAGAUCUACUCUGCUUUAACGCAUUUAGCGUAGAUUACAAAGUGAAAGUGAAAGUGAAAGGGGAAAGGGGACACUGAUUCUCAUUCCUUUUUUCACAGAAAACAGAUGAAUAAAGACCCAGAAAAAGGCAAAAGAUUUCAUGUCUCUUUCAGUCUCUCGGACAAAACCGAGACAAUUCCUUUUUUGUGUGGAUUUAUAGCCACAGAAUGUGUUAUUCAUAGUAUCUGUUAAAGAUGUUACUGAAAGCAAAGUGAUGAUGUGGGGGAGGGGCAGCACUUGCUGGAAAAGACGUGAAUGCUUCUUAAAAAAAUAGAAAUAAAAAAAGACAAAAUAAAUAGGAAAUUC